GACAAAGACUGUUGCAAUGGAGGUGCGAUACCAUGAAUCCUGUUACCGAGAUUAUACCAGGUUCAUAACCAAGUAAACAGCAACAGAAACUGCAACAAGGGACGAAGAAACACUUUGCUAAAAUUACACAUUUCGAAGACAACCCUAUGCUGAGACCUACAAACUCUUUUGUGAACAAGUGAGCCGUCAAAGGAUUAUCGUCGACAAAGAAGUGCUCAGAAUGGACAAGCUAAGAAGGUUGUUCGUGGACACCGUGAAGAACCAUGAGGAUCUUGAUGCUUCAGACUACAGGCAGGAUAUGCUGGCAUCCAUACAUUCACAGGUUGUGACUUGGCCAGCGGCUUUCAUGGCAAGGGCAAAACAAAGACAUUUUCUCUUGCUUGUCAGCAAGAAGAAUACCUGACUGUGUUUACAGAUCUGGGUAGUAGUUUUAACCUUGACCAGCCUACAUUUGAGGCAUUGAGCAAAUAUGUGUGCCAUCAGUAUGGCCAGUCAACUGCCAAAAAUGUCAACGAUGCAAGAUACAAGGCAUUCUGUAUGGCAUCGUCAGCUUAGCCAGAACUGUCCAUUCCUCCAACAAGUGAUGCUCUCUUCCAACACAGCAAAAGGGCAAACUACCAAGCAGCAGUAAUGCGACAUUCUCUGACUGGUAUGAUGUGUGCCCCUUCACCAAUUGGCAAUGGAUGGGACAUUGAGGAUGCUGAAUUAACAGUAGAACGGAUGACUAGAAAUUCUGCUCCAGAUAGUGUGCUACAGGUAGUCCACUGUGGUUGCAAGAUAAGCAAUUGUGAGACUGAAAGAUGUUCAUGCUUGUCUGCAAAAAUGUCUUGUACAGAUUUAUGCCACUGCCAGAACUGUGAAAAUAUUUCAAAGGAAACAAAGAGGCACAUGGGAUGAUGACACUGAUGAUAGUGAUAAUGAUGAGUAAUCACAUGUAAACUCUGUCCUAUGUUUUGUUAUAUUAUCAAGAUGUUACUCUCCAUUUUAACACUUUUAAAACAAAAAAAAAAUGUCUGUAUUCCCUUUUCCCAAAACAGACCUUUGUUCAAUUUGACUGCCAAAAAAGAUGGAUGUUCCAAUGAAGUGCCAUGGUUUUAUUUGAUAUACUGUAUGUAUAUAUACAGUAUUUAUUUAUUUUUUUGAGUGUGUGGGGUGGGGAUGUAAAUUCCAUGCUGUGACAUAAUCUGACACUUUAAU